rnacentral:tRNA from 1 species
GUCCUCGUAGCUCAAUGGAUAGAGUGCAAUCCUGCGGAGAUUGAGGUUGGCAGUUCGAGCCUGCCCGAGGACG